UGACAUUUUUGUGUGUUGAUUACAUAUAUAGCUUAAAACAUAUAUAAUCUAAUGUGUUGCUAUCAUUAUUUUCAGCAAUCCUAUUAGUAAAUUAAGAAUAAGAAAAAUAAAAUUUAUGUUUUACUGCUAUUUUUCUUUUCUUCUCUCAUGUUCUUCAUUUUUACGUAGAUCCAAGUUUUCUUCCUCUCCAGAAAACUGUUAGCAUUUCUUGCAAGUAGUCUUCUGGCAACAAAAUGUACAAUUUUUGCUUGCCAAACAUUUAUUUCUUCUUCACUUUAGAAAGACAAGUCUCAGGGUACCAAAUUUCAGGUUGGUAGUUUUUUCUCUCCAUGCUUAAAAUAUUUUUCUCCACUCAGUUUUUCCUUGUGUGGUUUCUGAGGAGAAGUCAGAUAUGUUUGCUCCCCCAUGGAUUGUUUUUUCUGCACAAGCUGCAUUCAGGACUUGUUUAUGGGAGACUGCUGUAUAUAAUGAAUAUCAGGAAGCCUUUGGAGAAGUUGUUUUUGUUUUUUUUAAGGAAGUAUGGGAGGAGAUAUGGAUCAGUUUUUAAAAACUCGGAGGAAGCAGACCUGUUUAAACUACAUACUUCUAAGUAAUGAAACUAAGCAUGGAUGUUGGUGAGCUACAUCAUGCAUGAGAUUUAAAAUAGCACUCUUAAUUAAAAACACAACUUUCAAGAGCAUCGGUUAACAGAGAGUAUUGAAUUUGCCUCUAUGCUUUUUCAGUGUACUGCAAAGUAAGCAUUUUGGGCAAGGACCACGUGUCAGAUUUAUCUUCGAAUCUCUCUUGCCUGCUAAAGGUAGUGGCAUGAUAGGCCUGAAUAUGUGCUUAAAUGAGUCAAUUAAGGAAUGUAGUCAUGUAUUAAAUUCAAAUCAAACUUCAUGGUGUUUGAUGUCAGAAUUGUGUAACUAAAUAACUUUAGGUUCUAAAAUAUCAACAUGGUAUUUCACUUGGAGAAAAUGUAGAUUAAUGGCUCUGAUUUUGAAACUGCUUCCUUCUUUCUCACAAAGUGCAGUAAACCUUGGGUGACAGUCAUGAAGCCUCUUCUUACUGCAGCUAAGUAAGGUAGACCUACUAUGGCUCAUUUCCCUCAUUUGUAGCACUGAGUUAGGUUGUCUGAAUAACUACCAAGAGUUUUGCCAUACCAUUCUUGUUCAUUCUGGGUUGUCUGGUCUGCAUUGAUAUCUGUCACAGAUUUCCAGUCACUACUGGAAAACAUUUAGUUCGCUUGCUGUAUACAGAACAGUUCCAGACUCCGCUGCUGGGAUAGAAAAUAUAUCUCAUUUGGAGUUUUACCCUGGAGAUACAAUUUGAAAUAGAAUGAAAACCAUUGGCAUAGAGUCCCUUUUAAAGAUUUACCUGUUGUAGAAGCAUUAGAAAGAAAGCAUAUUAAGGGCAAAGAUAAAUAUUUACUUAAAUGAUUAAAACAUCUUGAGUUUUUUUUGCUAUGGGCCUGAUGUCAUAAAAUUAUAUUUAAGCGAUUGUGAUAAUUUUGAAACCAUAGAUACAGAGGUUAGUAUGCAUUGAGAGGUACAUAAUGUGUAUACUGUUAGCUUGCUUGAAUUAAGGGUAGCCAUUGUAUAUUUUAAAUUACUUUAAUAUUUAAAUUUGUAUUGGUUUAGAAAAUGGAAGGUGUGGUCUUUUGAGAGUUGGCCUUAAUCCUCAAGUAGGUUGGCUUACACUCAAUUUCAGGGAAACAACACACAUAUGCAUAGUAGGAUAACUCAAACAGUAGGCUUUGUAAGGCAAAAAGUCUAUGAAUAUCAUGGAGAAUAAGAAUUCCAGGCUUUUAUUUUUCAAUAUUUAUUAAUUUAUUUAUUUGAAAGGCAGAGUUACAGCGAGUCAGAGAAAGAGAGAAGUCUUGCAUCUGCUGGUUCACUCUCCACAUGGCCACAACAGCUGGAGCUGCAUCUGUUUGGAGCCAGGAGCUUCCUUCAGGUCUCCCAGGUGGCAUUUCAUUGCUUGAUGCCUUUUGUGGAUAUAUCAUACUUUAUACAUCCAGUUGCUGAAUCACAGUAAUAGGCUGAUUCCAUAUUUCAGCUGUUGUGAGUAGCACUGCCGUCAACAUGGAAUGGAGAUAUCCUUUUGACGCACUGAUGUCAUAUCCUUUGGACACAUACCCAGUAAUGGAACUGGGGGAUUUUACUCGGUUCUGUUUUGCUAAAGAGACUUCCAUACUAUUUUCCAUAAUGGUUGUGCUAAUUUGACUUCCCACAAAUACACUAAAAAUUUCACCUGUCUUGAAAUCCAUGCCACCCUUUGUUAUUUUGUGUUUUCUCCAUGGUAGUCAUUCUAACUGGAGUGAGAUGAUAAUCUUAUUCUGGUUUUAACUUGCAUUUUUCUCUUGAUUAAUGAUGUGGAGAAUUUUUCAUGUAACUAUUGGACAUGUGCAUGUCUUCCUUUGAGAUGAGUAUGUUAAGUUCUUCAGCCUAGAUGAAAAGUUGUUGUUUUUUUCUGUUUUGUUUUGUUUUGUUUUGUAUUUUUUAGCCCUGGGUUUUUUGAGAUAAUUGUGUAGUCUGGAUAUUAACUCCUUGUAGAAAACCUGAGGGGAAGUACUGUAUGGCAUUGUAUUGGGGACAGGUUUUGUUACUUACUUUUUGACAUAGAAGCACAGGCUAGACUGGCCUGGGUAGGUGGCUCGGGGCUGCUCCCACACCAGGAAUCUGAAGCAGUGUUAGUGGCCGCGGGCUUAGCAGGUUGGAGCUGGAUGGACCUGAUGCAAGGUGGUGGGCACCACUGGCACAGCACCCCAGCUGGCCACAUGGGGGGAAAGGCCCGGGCCCUGCUGCCCACGUGUGACUCUUGGGGUCUCGGCUGCGUUGCCACUUUGUCCUGGGAGGCCCUGCUACAUGCUGCUGCACUCUAAGAGCUGGGAGCCCAACAAUGCCCUGCAGGUCUAAGGAGCCUGCCCUGGUCCCUGCACUGACUGCAACCACUGGAGAAUGAAAGAGCCCCAGAUAAUAGCAUCCGUGGGCUUGGACAGGGAGCUCAGUGACCUCCUAGACUUCAGCAUGAUGUUCCUGCUGCCCGUGGCCAGUCGAAAGGGCUGGCCUGUCUCCUUGGCCAGCGCACAGUUCAGAGGAGCAGGUCCGGAGGACUGGCCUGGUUCAGGCUCCUGGGACACUGGCGAUCAGAACACCUCCUCCUUCAACCCUGGCCAGAGCUACAGUGAAGGACCCACUUCAGUGAGUCCCACAGCAGCCUUUCUUUCCCAUUUCUGGGACCUGGGACCUGGGCUUGGAGGCAAGGGCGGCCAGUGGGGCGGGUACCCCACCUUCUGGAGAGACACGGCUGUUGGCGGCUUGACUCAGGUCAGGUUCCUGACUGGUGAGCAUUCCCUCUGCAGCCCCGGGCCACUGUCCUUCUCAGACAUCAAGGGAGCACCCAGUACAAUGCCUCCUAACUCGGCAACCCUUGGGCAGAACCUCAGGUGGCCACUGGGCCCACAGCCCAAGAAUGUCGAGAAGUUUCUACCUGUUCUUCCUUCCUCAUUGUACCCCCCACCCCCAAUAUAAUAAAAAUAACUUUUUCAUAUUUAUUUAUUUAAAAAGCAGAGUUACAGAGAGAGAAAGAGAGAGAGAGAGAGAUAUUCCAUCCACUGAUUCACUCUUCAAAUGGCCACAACAGCUGGAGCUGGGCCAAUCCGAAGCCAGGAACCAGGAGCUUCCUCCAGGGUCUCCCACAUGGGUGUAGGGGCCCAAGCACUUGGACCAUCUUCUGCUGUUUUUGGACCACCCUCUUCUGCUUUCCCAGGCAUAUUAGCAAGGAGUUGGAUCAGAAGUGGAGCACCCAGAACUUGAACCGGAACCCAUAUGGGAUGCCGGCACUGCAGGCAAUGGCUUUACCCACUGCACUGCAACACCGGCCUCAAUAAGAAUCACUGUCUUUCUCUCUCUCUCUCUUUUUUUUAAAUAAGUCUUUUUUAACAAUUCUUUUAGAUUUUUGUUUAUUUAAGAGAGAGCGUUACAGACAGUGGGAAGGGGAGACAGAGAGAUCGUCCAUCUGCUAGUUCACUCCCCAAAUGGCUGCAAUGGCUGGAGCUGCACUGAUUGGAAGCCAGGAUCCAGGAGCUUCUUCCGGGUCUCCAGUGCGGGUACAGGGGUCCAAGGGCUUGGGUCAUCUUCUACUGCUUUCCUAGGCCAUAGCAGAGAGCUGGAUUGGAAGAGGAGCAGCCAGGACUAGAACGGGUGCCCAUAUGGGAUGCCGGCGCCACAGGUGGAUUAACCUACUGAGUCACAGCACCGACCCCUGAAUCACUUUCUUUCUAAGACCAGACUUCUAAGAAAAGGGCAGGAAAAGAAACAGAAAAUGUUGGACAUCCAGAAAGAUGUUAAAGACGCAAUUGUGACAAUAGUUUCGGCGAUGAGCACCAUUAGACCCCCAGUUCCACUGGCCAACCCGGAAAACCAGUUUCGAUCAGAUUACAUCAAGAGCAUCACACCUGUCGCUGAUUCUGAGUAUCUGAGUAUUUACAUGCACCCUCUCAUUUCAUCCUCACGACAAAAGGCGUAAAUGCUAUUACAGACCCAACUUUCCUGGGUGCCCCUGAGGUGAAGAAAUUGGUAUCAGUUCUGGGCGCAGCACCAGGUGUGUGUGUGCUACCCUGCCCUAAGCUGUCCCACAUGGGCUCACAGUGAGAUGCAGGGUGGGCUCAGGGAACAGGAACUCUGGAGUGUGCAGAUGGACACAGCAGCAGCCCCGGUGCUCGGAGCCUGGCCAGGUGCGCAGGGGUGUGGACCGACCUUGGACUAAGAGAUGCCCACAGCCAGGCGUGGACACGGGGAUCCCGGCUCAGGCACACCCAGGCUGUGUGACCUUGACCAAACACCUGCUCCCCCGGCAGCCCCUGUUCUCUUUACUGUGGACAGAGCCAGUAUGGCAGCCGCACCGCCUGAGCCAGGAGUCUCUGCAGCCCGGGUGGUGCAGAGCAGAGCUUAGAAACUCAGGUCAGAGCCUAGGAUCCGACGGCACUCAGCACCGGGCACCUCUGUGGCGGCGCUCAGGAAGCACAAGCCAAGCCAACUUUGUGUCCUUGGGGCUGAGGCACCCCUCCCCCCAGGAGGCUCUGGGCCACCUCCUCCCCAGGGGUGCACAGGCUAUGCAGGGGCUGUCACUGCCUCUCUGCCACUGGGCAGCACCGUGCACGCGGCCUCAGCAGCUGGGGGUCCCUCGGCCCACACUUGCUCUGGAG